AGUGAACGCUGGCGGUAGGCCUAACACAUGCAAGUCGAACGGCAGCACAGUAAGAGCUUGCUCUUACGGGUGGCGAGUGGCGGACGGGUGAGGAAUACAUCGGAAUCUACUUUUUCGUGGGGGAUAACGUAGGGAAACUUACGCUAAUACCGCAUACGACCUACGGGUGAAAGCAGGGGAUCUUCGGACCUUGCGCGAUUGAAUGAGCCGAUGUCGGAUUAGCUAGUUGGCGGGGUAAAGGCCCACCAAGGCGACGAUCCGUAGCUGGUCUGAGAGGAUGAUCAGCCCCACUGGGACUGAGACACGGUCCAGACUCCUACGGGAGGCAGCAGUGGGGAAUAUUGGACAAUGGGCGCAAGCCUGAUCCAGCCAUACCGCGUUGGUGAAGAAGGCCUUCGGGUUGUAAAGCCCUUUUGUUGGGAAAGAAAAGCAGCAGGUUAAUACCCCGCUGUUCUGACGGUACCCAAAGAAUAAGCACCGGCUAACUUCGUG
rnacentral:rRNA from 1 species